rnacentral:rRNA from 1 species
AUUGAACGCUGGCGGCAUGCCUUACACAUGCAAGUCGAACGGUAACGGGCCUUCGGGUGCCGACGAGUGGCGAACGGGUGAGUAAUGCAUCGGAACGUACCUUUCAGUGGGGGAUAACGUAGCGAAAGUUUACGCUAAUACCGCAUAUUCUGUGAGCAGGAAAGCAGGGGAUCGGCAAGACCUUGCGCUGAUUGAGCGGCCGAUGUCAGAUUAGCUAGUUGGUGAGGUAAAGGCUCACCAAGGCGACGAUCUGUAGCGGGUCUGAGAGGAUGAUCCGCCACACUGGAACUGAGACACGGUCCAGACUCCUACGGGAGGCAGCAGUGGGGAAUUUUGGACAAUGGGGG